rnacentral:rRNA from 1 species
CAGCCGCCGCGGUAAUACGAAGGGGGCUAGCGUUGUUCGGAAUUACUGGGCGUAAAGCGCACGUAGGCGGAUAUUUAAGUCAGGGGUGAAAUCCCGCAGCUCAACUGCGGAACUGCCUUUGAUACUGGGUAUCUUGAGUAUGGAAGAGGUAAGUGGAAUUGCGAGUGUAGAGGUGAAAUUCGUAGAUAUUCGCAGGAACACCAGUGGCGAAGGCGGCUUACUGGUCCACUACUGACGCUGAGGUGCGAAAGCGUGGGGAGCAAACAGGAUUAGAUACCCCUGUAGUCCCUGUCUCUUAUAC